CCUAAGUUCAUCGAUUAGACAUUGUUUAAAUUACAAGCCUGUGACUUAGUAGACCUGAAACAUCAACCUAUGCAAAAAUGUAUCCAGUUGGCCGCCCUAAUCAGGUGAGGAAUAGUCAAUAAAUUUCAGCUGAGUUUUAUUCAUGAGAUCGGUAACCUCUUUGAAUCAACACAGUUGGAGUUUCAGGGAAAAUGCCAACCGUGGCAUCCACUAUGAGGUCUCUAAUCCCAUCCUCUCUGUUGGAUGGAUUUAUUUUAAAGGGUUUCAGUACCAUUUGGGUAUACUACUUGAUUUGUAUCCAGAGUUCAAGCUAGUUCCUUUGUAAAAUACUAACCACAGACACAAAGUUGAAUUUUUCAACAUAAAUUAUGAAACUUUGUUAAACUUCUAAACCAAUGUAAAACAUCCCUUUGUUUUGACUUCUUCUUUACUUUACGACCAAAACUCGACGGAAACUUCAGUUUCAAAUAAGGUUCUACUAAGAGCUGAAUUUUUGGUCUCAUCGGGAACUUGACUUUCUUGGUUCCUCUUAAGGGGUUAUAUACAGUUAUGGUUUUCAAAAAAUCGAUUUUUUUUUUGCGUUUUCUUAAUAUAUAAAUAUCUGAGACACAUUAGUGAAGGCGCGCCGACUACAUGUAAAGUGCUUUCAAAACUUUAAACUCGUUUUUCUCGAAACGAUGUUUUCAAAGUCGAUGGGCAAGAUUUCUCAGAAACGGCUGAACCGAUCGGUCUAAAAUUUUUACACAUGCUUCUUAACUACAUUUUUUAGUAAUUAAUCGAAGGAUUUCCCCAUCCGAUGAAAAUUUCUUAUUUUUAUAAACAAUUAACCCUGGCUCACCAAUGUUAGUGGUUUCGACUAACAUUGUUCCUUUUUGCUCUCGCAAUUUCUUUUUUCUUUUUAUCUAUCGUCCUCUCAUUUAAUGUUGAUUUAGUUGCUAAGCUACUGCCGAUGAACACAGUCACGUUGUGUGGAUUAGCUGAAGGUGUAACUUUUUUUUAGCGAGUAAUAUGGCUGCACAUAGAAUAUCUGACGAUGAAAUUGAGAGAAUUUUGGAUCUUUCCGAUGAUGAAGAAAAAAGAUUUCAGUGCUUCCGAAAGCGAGUACGCACCAAGUCCAUCCGAAGAAAUGAUGCAGGGAAGUUCGUCAGAUGAAGUAGUAGAUAGUGAUGGUUAUGAAGGCAGUGAUCACAAUCUGGAAGGCAGCGAUGAAGAAAGCAGUCCUACUCAACCGACUCACAAAAAUAUUAUACCUUUUUCAAAAAACAUUUUACGUGGGAAGAAUAAACACAAUUGGACGAAAUUUGCGCCUUCUGCCCAUAUCAAAAACACCGCAUGACGAAGGCAGUAUGCACAAAAUGCGGCAAAAGUACCUGUGAUGAUCCAGUCCAGAGAUAUCGUGGUCACCGCAAAAUUGGCAAUAUCAACGUUCCCGAUAAUUAUUUUUGGCAAUAAAAAAUAUGUGAAUAUAGUUUAAGGUUGUCAUAAUAUACCUGCCAUGUUUCAAAUCAAUAAACCAAAUAGUUUGCUUAGAAAAAAUUCUUGAAAAAUGCCUUUUUUUCGACCUCCUAACUGUAUAUAACCUCUUAAAAAAUGUCUGCUACAGCGAAGACACCUUCUUUUAUUUCUGUAUUUCUGGAACUCUGAUUGAUAGUUUCUGAGCUUUUUACAACGAACUUGAUCUUCAAAGAAAGGUGUAUUGUUUUUAAAGAUAUCUGAGAACUACCAUCAUAUGUCCAACUUCGAGAGAGAGACCCACAAAGAGACACGCUAUAUUUGCCUUUUGUACAUUUCCAAACAACGUCCAGUAAAUACACACACCAUUGCGGUACUCUCACAGAAGUGUCAAUAUUUUAUUAUUGAAAAUGGGUUUUGCCAUAAACUUUUCCGUGGCUUGCAGGCAACAACUGUGGCUUGGCUUGAGUUGCCAUAGCUUUUUGCGUUUCAUAUUUUAUACGGCUGCUGGCAUACUCUUGCUGUUGUUGUUGUUGUGUGCUGUUGCGCUGUGCGGCUGACUAUUUGGCUUGUCAGAGACUGCAGGCGUGGGAAGUGCGAGCGGAUAAUAUAGCCGGAAGUUGUUGCUGCAUGUGAUUGUGUUGGCACAGUGACGCUAAUACACACACCGACAUACAUACGCAUACACCCAUAUUCCU